CGGAAACACGCUGCUGCAGGAAACUCUUUUGCCCCCAAGUGGCCCCUUGUUCACAUUCCUGUGGCUCCAGAGGAGGACUGGCCUGGCCUGAAGUCAUCUAUCAUGGCUGGUCAGGCUGGAGGGGCUGUUGGAAUCAGCUUGUCCCACCUUCUCCUUUUCACAGACCCAGAAAUGGAGGUGCAGACAGGGACAGGGCUCUGCUCAAAUACACAGGAGCUCAAAGCAGGGGUAGGACAGCUACCAUGGAAGAGCCUUAUGACAUGCAAAGAGUUUGGCUUCCAUCCAAUACUCAGUCCAGUCCCGCAAGGUGAGACUAAAGAGCUACAAAGUGAGUGUUCUGGACACUCUGAGAAUCUACAACUGGAGAAGCCAACAUUGCCUGUGGACUGAGAGCCACAUCCCAGAAAGUGAUGUUCAAGUUGAGAUGGGAAAGAUGGGUUGGAAAUGGGGGGGGCAGGGGGAUGAGGGAGGAGGAUGCUGGGGGAGAAAAGAAAAAUCCUGGCCGAGGAAACUAAGUAUGUCAGGCUCCUGAGGAGUGGGGAGGCAGCAUGGUGGACCAGAGGGGCUUGGUGAAGCCAGAGAGGACAGAGGGAAUGCUUGACACAUCAAGCCUUUGUUUUCUCUCAUCCAGAUGUCCAGUGGUCUCAGGCAAAGGCCCAGGCAACGGAGGCUUCCCAUGGGGCCCUCUACCUCUUCACUGCUCCAGGUGGGCCCAGGCUCAUCAGACCACGGGGCCCCCAUUGCCUUCUCAGGGGCUCCCCCAUGCUAGCCGGGGAAUCAAGGUCAACACAGGCUCCACACUCCCCUGAGUCCUGCACCUACCCCACGCUUGCUGAGGGCCUCCAGAGGACAGCUUCUGUCCCUCCUACCACAGGUCGGAUCUGCAGCCUGACGUGGCCAUUCCUCCAGUGUUUGGAGAAUCAUUGCCUUGCCUUCAUUCAGGAGCCAGAUUGCCUGGGCUAGAAUCCCAGCUCCACCAUUCACCAGCUGUGUAAACUCCCUGGGCCUCAGUUUUCUCACCUGUAAAACGGGAUUCAUUGGACUGUUAUGGAUUAAAUGAGUUGACUUUUAUAAAGAACUUAGAAGAACCUUAUUUAUUUGUUAUGUACAAAAUGAAAUUCCAUCCUGCCUAAUAAAUAUCAG
rnacentral:lncRNA from 1 species